GGCGAACGGGUGAGUAACACGUGAGUAACCUGCCCUUAACUCUGGGAUAAGCCUGGGAAACUGGGUCUAAUACCGGAUAUGACUCCUCAUCGCAUGGUGGGGGGUGGAAAGCUUUUUGUGGUUUUGGAUGGACUCGCGGCCUAUCAGCUUGUUGGUGAGGUAAUGGCUUACCAAGGCGACGACGGGUAGCCGGCCUGAGAGGGUGACCGGCCACACUGGGACUGANACACGGCCCAGACUCCUACGGGAGGCAGCAGUGGGGAAUAUUGCACAAUGGGCGCAAGCCUGAUGCAGCGACGCCGCGUGAGGGAUGACGGCCUUCGGGUUGUAAACCUCUUUCAGUAGGGAAGAAGCGAAAGUGACGGUACCUGCAGAAGAAGCGCCGGCUAACUACNUGCCANCAGCCGCGGUAAUACNUAGGGCGCAAGCGUUAUCCGGAAUUAUUGGGCGUAAAGAGCUCGUAGGCGGUUUGUCGCGUCUGCCGUGAAAGUCCGGGGCUCAACUCCNGAUCUGCGGUGGGUACGGCCAGACUACAGUGAUGUAGGGGAGACUGGAAUUCCUGGUGUAGCGGUGAAAUGCGCAGAUAUCAUGAGGAACACCGAUGGCGAAGGCAGGUCUCUGGGCAUUAACUGACGCUGAGGAGCGAAAGCAUGGGGAGCGAACAGGAUUAGAUACCCUGGUAGUCCAUGCCGUAAACGUUGGGCACUAGGUGUGGGGGACAUUCCACGUUUUCCGCGCCGUAGCUAACGCAUUAAGUGCCCCGCCUGGGGAGUACGGCCGCAAGGCUAAAACUCAAAGGAAUUGACGGGGGCCCGCACAAGCGGCGGAGCAUGCGGAUUAAUUCGAUGCAACGCGAANAACCUUACCAAGGCUUGACAUGAACCGGAAAUACCUGGAGACANGUGCCCCGCUUGCGGUCNAUUUACA
rnacentral:rRNA from 1 species